AUUGAACGCUGGCGGCAGGCUUAGCACAUGCAAGUCGAGCGGAGAUGAGGUGCUUGCACCUUAUCUUAGCGGCGGACGGGUGAGUAAUGCUUAGGAAUCUGCCUAUUAGUGGGGGACAACAUUCCGAAAGGAAUGCUAAUACCGCAUACGCCCUACGGGGGAAAGCAGGGGAUCUCCGGACCUUGCGCUAAUAGAUGAGCCUAAGUCGGAUUAGCUAGUUGGUGGGGUAAAGGCCUACCAAGGUGACGAUCUGUAGCGGGUCUGAGAGGAUGAUCCGCCACACUGGGACUGAGACACGGCCCAGACUCCUACGGGAGGCAGCAGUGGGGAAUAUUGGACAAUGAGCGGAAGCCUGAUCCAGCCAUGCCGCGUGUGUGAAGAAGGCCUUUUGGUUGUAAAGCACUUUAAGCGAGGAGGAGGCUACCUGGAUUAAUACUCUAGGAUAGUGGACGUUACUCGCAGAAUAAGCACCGGCUAACUCUGUGCCAGCAGCCGCAGUAAAAC
rnacentral:rRNA from 1 species